rnacentral:rRNA from 1 species
AUUGAACGCUGGCGGCAUGCUUUACACAUGCAAGUCGAACGGUAACAGGUUAAGCUGACGAGUGGCGAACGGGUGAGUAAUGCAUCGGAACGUGCCCGAUCGUGGGGGAUAACGCAGCGAAAGCUGCGCUAAUACCGCAUACGAUCUGAGGAUGAAAGCGGGGGACCGUAAGGCCUCGCGCGAUCGGAGCGGCCGAUGUCAGAUUAGGUAGUUGGUGGGGUAAAGGCUCACUAAGCCGACGAUCUGUAGCUGCUCUGAGAGGACGACCAGCCACGCUGGGACUGAGACACGGCCCAGACUCCUACGGGAGGCAGCAGUGGGGAAUUUUGGACAAUGGGCGAAAGCCUGAUCCAGCAAUGCCGCGUGCAGGAAGAAGGCCUUCGGGUUGUAAACUGCUUUUGUACGGAGCGAAAAGGCUCUCUCUAAUACAGGGGGCUCAUGACGGUACCGUAAGAAUAAGCACCGGCUAACUACGUGCCAGCCGCCGCGGUAA